rnacentral:rRNA from 1 species
UACGUAGGGUGCAAGCGUUGUCCGGAAUUAUUGGGCGUAAAGAGCGUGUAGGCGGCCCGAUUAGUCCGCUGUGAAAGUCCAGGGCUCAACCCUGGAAUGCCGGUGGAUACUGUCGGGCUAGAGUCCGGAAGGGGCGAGUGGAAUUCCUGGUGUAGCGGUGAAAUGCGUAGAUAUCUGCAGGAACACCCGUGGCGAAAGCGGCGCGCUGGACCACUACUGACGCUGAGGAACGAAAGCUAGGGGAGCGAAUGGG